rnacentral:rRNA from 1 species
AGGAUAAACGCUGGCGGUGUGCCUAAUACAUGCAAGUCGUGCGGCAGCACGGGCUUCGGCCUGGUGGCGAGCGGCGGACGGCUGAGUAACGCGUAGGAACGUACCCCAAAGUGAGGGAUAACUGCCCGAAAGGGUAGCUAAUACCGCAUAUGGUCUACGGAUUAAAGCUUUUAGCGCUUUGGGAACGGCCUGCGUUCGAUUAGUUUGUUGGUGAGGUAAUGGCUUACCAAGACGAUGAUCGAUAGCUGGUCUGAGAGGAUGAUCAGCCAGACUGGGACUGAGACACGGCCCAGACUCCUACGGGAGGCAGCAGUAGGGAAUUUUGGACAAUGGGGGCAACCCUGAUCCAGCGACGCCGCGUGGAGGACGAAGGUCUUCGGAUUGUAAACUCCUUUUAGGGGGGAUGGAAUGACUGGGUGAAUAACCCAGAGUGACAGUACUCCCUGAAUAAGCCACGGCUAACUACGUGCCAGCAGCCGCGGU